CAUGGGGACUGUGGGCAUCCCCCAUGGUGGCAGUGUUUGUGCCCCACAAAGUCCAACAGUGUUCACAGACCCCUGAGACUGGUAGGAUGGCUGACCCAGGGAUUCAUAUGUCAAUGUCUUUGGAGGUCUCCUGUCCCGUACUGGUCGCCUGGCUGGUUCACACAGAGGGGUGGUAGAUCUAUCAUUGUCAAUGUCACAUCUGGCUGGACCAUUUUGAUGUUGAUUCUCAGUGUCCUGUGCAUGGUCACUUCCUGCUGUUUGUUCAUACUCAUUGUCAUUUAUCUGUUCAAAUUCCUGUUCACUGGAUUGGUCCUGCUCCAUCAGUACAUGUUCCUCUGGUGUGAUCCUCAGCUGUCGUAUUGCCUCUCCUGUCGGUGUGAUCAACCGUGCUUGUUCAUGUGAGGAUGGAGAAGUCACAGUGUGUCUCUGGGGCACAUAGGGAAGCGUGGUAUGUGGACUUUGUGACUUAGCUGGCCUGGACACUCUUAACCAGUAUUGUGCUCGGGGAAUAUCAUCAUCAGACGAAUCACUGCUUUGAAAUGGUUCUCUCUGUCCAUGCUUUUCUGUUUGACUCCUAUUCUUCUGUCUUUCUUUGGUUGCUGUUUUGUUCUUGAACUGUUCAGGCAUACUCACAGGUAAGUCAUUUACCAUGUGGAGAAGAUUUCUGUGAAGAGUACGUAUUUUAUUGCCACCUGUCUCGGGACACACUUUGUAAAUGGGGCUCUCAUUUACCUGUUCUUUAACCACAUACACUGUUUGUUCCCAAUAGGACCUCAGCUUUCCCGGCCCUCUUCUCUCACUCAGAUUACGAACCAGGACUCUGUCACCGGGCUGCAGGACCACUCCCCUCACAUGACGGUCAUAUUGUCUCUUCCCUCGUGCGCUGGACUGCUGGCUGUUCUGAGCUGCUAUUCGGCCAAAGAGCAGAUCUACUGGGAGGCAAGGAUGGCGCCCAAACAUGAGGUAGUGGGGUGAGAAACCUGUGGCCUCAUGUCUGGUGCAAUUGUAUGCAUGCACAACCAGUGGGUUUCCCUGUGGAUGGUACGGAGUCGUUCCGGAGUGGCUCACUCCAGCCAGAUUCUGCAGGGUCGUGAACAGGACAUUUUCGAAUUCCUGGCCUUGAUCGUGGUGCAGCCUGCCCGGAAACCCAAACCGAGGAAUAAAGUCAUUGAAUAUUUUCUCUGCAGCUGUUCUGCCUGAUUUGUUCCGUGUCGCAUACACUUGGGCGAACCUACUGAAGUGGUCUAUACAUACUAAGAUGUAGUCAUAUCCUCCUUUGCUCUGUUCCAGAUGCAUGUAGUCUAUAGACACCAGC